rnacentral:rRNA from 1 species
GAUGAACGCUAGCGGCAGGCCUAACACAUGCAAGUCGAGGGGCAGCACAGAAACAGCAAUGUUUUGGUGGCGACCGGCGGACGGGUGCGUAACGCGUAUGCAACCUACCUUUAACAGGGGGAUAACGGAGAGAAAUUUCCACUAAUACCCCAUAACAUCGAUCAAGGCAUCUUGAUUGGUUGAAAACUCCGGUGGUUAAAGAUGGGCAUGCGUUGUAUUAGGUAGUUGGUGAGGUAAUGGCUCACCAAGCCUACGAUACAUAGGGGGACUGAGCGGUUAGCCACCCGCACUGGUACUGAGACACGGACCAGACUCCUACGGGAGGCAGCAGUGAGGAAUAUUGGUCAAUGGGGGCAACCCUGAACCAGCCAUGCCGCGUGCAGGAAGACGGCUCUAUGAGUUGUAAACUGCUUUUAAACAGGGAUAAAGCACAGUAUGUAUACUGUGUUGAAGGUACUGUAAGAAUAAGGAUCGGCUAACUCCGUGCCAGCCGCCGCCGUAA